CCCUUAGAUGUCCUGGGCCGCACGCGUGCUACACUGACACCUGCAACGAGUUAUUCCAGCUCCGAAAGGCAGUUGGUAAUCAGAAAUAGGUGUCGUGAUGGGGAUAGACCCUUGGAAUUAUGGAUCUUGAACGAGGAAUGCCUAGUAAGCGCACGUCAUUAGCGUGUGCUGAUUAAGUCCCUGCCCUUUGUACACACCGCCCGUCGCUCCUACCGAUUUCGAGUGGUCCGGUGAGCCUUUUGGAGAGUGAGCGUCCUUGAGGCGCUUGCUCGAAGUCAGGCAAAUCUUACUACUUAGAGGAAGGAUAAGUCGUAACA
rnacentral:rRNA from 1 species